UUUUAAUUGAAGACUUGUAUGAAUGGUUGAACGAGAAAAUAACUGUCUCUUUAAAAAAUCUUGAACUUUACUUUUAAGUGAAAAGGCUUAAAUAAUUUUAAGGGACGAUAAGACCCUAUAAAUCUUUAUAUUAUUUUUCUUUAAAUUUCAAAUUAUACAUUAAAAGAAAUAAAAGAAAAAAAUAUUAUAUUGGGGAGAUAAAAAUAUAAUUUUUAACUGUUUUAAAAAUAAAACAAUAAUUUUUGAUUAAAAAAAAAAUGAUCCUUUUUAAAGAUUUAAAGAUUAAGUUACUUUAGGGAUAACAGCGUAAUUUUUUUUGAGAGUUCUUAUCGAAAUAAAAGUUUGCGACCUCGAUGUUGAAUUAAAAUAUCCUUAUAAGUGCAGAAGCUAUAA
rnacentral:rRNA from 18 species